UGGGUGAACGCGUAGGCGGUAGCUCUAGAAGCAAGUCGAGCGGACAGAUGGGAGCUUGCUCCCUGAUGUUAGCGGCGGACGGGUGAGUAACACGUGGGUAACCUGCCUGUAAGACUGGGAUAACUCCGGGAAACCGGGGCUAAUACCGGAUGCUUGUUUGAACCGCAUGGUUCAAACAUAAAAGGUGGCUUCGGCUACCACUUACAGAUGGACCCGCGGCGCAUUAGCUAGUUGGUGAGGUAAUGGCUCACCAAGGCAACGAUGCGUAGCCGACCUGAGAGGGUGAUCGGCCACACUGGGACUGAGACACGGCCCAGACUCCUACGGGAGGCAGCAGUAGGGAAUCUUCCGCAAUGGACGAAAGUCUGACGGAGCAACGCCGCGUGAGUGAUGAAGGUUUUCGGAUCGUAAAGCUCUGUUGUUAGGGAAGAACAAGUACCGUUCGAAUAGGGCGGUACCUUGACGGUACCUAACCAGAAAGCCACGGCUAACUACGUGCCAGCAGCCGCGGUAAUACGUAGGUGGCAAGCGUUGUCCGGAAUUAUUGGGCGUAAAGGGCUCGCAGGCGGUUCCUUAAGUCUGAUGUGAAAGCCCCCGGCUCAACCGGGGAGGGUCAUUGGAAACUGGGGAACUUGAGUGCAGAAGAGGAGAGUGGAAUUCCACGUGUAGCGGUGAAAUGCGUAGAGAUGUGGAGGAACACCAGUGGCGAAGGCGACUCUCUGGUCUGUAACUGACGCUGAGGAGCGAAAGCGUGGGGAGCGAACAGGAUUAGAUACCCUGGUAGUCCACGCCGUAAACGAUGAGUGCUAAGUGUUAGGGGGUUUCCGCCCCUUAGUGCUGCAGCUAACGCAUUAAGCACUCCGCCUGGGGAGUACGGUCGCAAGACUGAAACUCAAAGAAUUGACGGGGCCGCACAAGCGUGGAGCAUGUGGCUUUAAUUCGAAGCAACGGCC
rnacentral:rRNA from 2 species